ACUGAAUAGAUACCCCGGUAGUCCCAGCCGUAAACGAUGCUCGCUAGGUGUCAGGCAUGGCGCGACCGUGUCUGGUGCCGCAGGGAAGCCGUGAAGCGAGCCACCUGGGAAGUACGGCCGCAAGGCUGAAACUUAAAGGAAUUGGCGGGGGAGCACAACAACGGGUGGAGCCUGCGGUUUAAUUGGACUCAACGCCGGACAACUCACCGGGGGCGACAGCAAUAUGUAGGCCAAGCUGAAGACUUUGCCUGAAUCGCUGAGAGGAGGUGCAUGGCCGUCGCCAGUUCGUACUGUGAAGCAUCCUGUUAAGUCAGGCAACGAGCGAGACCCGUGCCCACUGUUACCAGCAUGUCCUCCGGGACGAUGGGUACUCUGUGGGGACCGCCGAUGUUAAAUCGGAGGAAGGUGCGGGCCACGGUAGGUCAGUAUGCCCCGAAUCUCCCGGGCUACACGCGGGCUACAAUGGAUGGGACAAUGGGUCCCUCCCCUGAAAAGGGCUGGUAAUCUCACAAACCCAUUCGUAGUUCGGAUCGAGGGCUGUAAC
rnacentral:rRNA from 1 species